CGGGACGGGUGAGUAAUGUCUGGGAAACUGCCUGAUGGAGGGGGGGAAGUACUGGAAACGGUAGCUAAUACCGCAUAACGUCGCAAGACCAAAGAGGGGGACCUUCGGGCCUCUUGCCAUCGGAUGUGCCCAGAUGGGAUUAGCUAGUAGGUGGGGUAACGGCUCACCUAGGCGACGAUCCCUAGCUGGUCUGAGAGGAUGCCAGCCACACUGGAACUGAGACACGGUCCAG
rnacentral:rRNA from 1 species